rnacentral:rRNA from 1 species
GCGGUGUGAGCUGGUGUGGGUCGCAGAGACCAGAGAGAAGCGACUGUUUACUAAAAACACAGGUCCGUGCGAAGUCGUAAGACGAUGUAUACGGACUGACGCCUGCCCGGUGCUGGAAGGUUAAGAGGACCGGUUAAUCCACUUUUGGUGGGUGAAGCUGAGAAUUUAAGCCCCAGUAAACGGCGGUGGUAACUAUAACCAUCCUAAGGUAGCGAAAUUCCUUGUCGGGUAAGUUCCGACCUGCACGAAUGGCGUAACGACUUCUCUGCUGUCUCAACCACAGACUCGGCGAAAUUGCAGUACGAGUAAAGAUGCUCGUUACGCGCGGCAGGACGAAAAGACCCCGGGACCUUCACUAUAGCUUGGUAUUGGUGUUCGGUUCGGUUUGUGUAGGAUAGGUGGGAGACUGUGAAGUGGGCACGCCAGUGUUCAUGGAGUCGUUGUUGAAAUACCACUCUGAUCGUAUUGGACUUCUAACCUCGGACCCUGAUCGGGUUCAGGGACAGUGCCUGGUGGGUAGUUUAACUGGGGCGGUUGCCUCCCAAAAUGUAACGGAGGCGCCCAAAGGUUCCCUCAGCCUGGUUGGCAAUCAGGUGUUGAGUGUAAGUGCACAAGGGAGCUUGACUGUGAGACGUACAUGUCGAGCAGGGACGAAAGUCGGGACUAGUGAUCCGGCACCAACGUGUGGAAGUGGUGUCGCUCAACGGAUAAAAGGUACCCCGGGGAUAACAGGCUGAUCUUCCCCAAGAGUCCAUAUCGACGGGAUGGUUUGGCACCUCGAUGUCGGCUCGUCGCAUCCUGGGGCUGGAGUAGGUCCCAAGGGUUGGGCUGUUCGCCCAUUAAAGCGGCACGCGAGCUGGGUUUAGAACGUCGUGAGACAGUUCGGUCUCUAUCCGCCGCGCGCGUCUAGAAACUUGAGGAAACCUGUCCCUAGUACGAGAGGACCGGGACGGACGAACCUCUGGUGUGCCAGUUGUCCUACCAAGGGCACUGCUGGUUAGCUACGUUCGGAAGGGAUAACCGCUGAAAGCAUCUAAGCGGGAAGCCUGUUCCAAGAUGAGGUUUCUCACCACCUUCGAGUGGUUAAGGCCCCCUACAGACCAUGGGGUUGAUAGGCCAGAACUGUACGCCUAGUAAUAGGUUCAGGUGACUGGUACUAAUCGGCCGAGGACUUAC